rnacentral:misc_RNA from 1 species
UCUCCGUUGGUGAACCAGCGGAGGGAUCAUUACAGAGUUGCAAAACUCACAACCCUUUGUGAACGUUACCUAUUCCUGUUCUUGCGCUGGCCGCCCGGGCCCCUCCCCCCGCGCCUCCCCGGACCCGUGGUCCCCCUCCGACGUUACACCAAACCCUUCAAUUCCAUGGCCUCUCAGCUUCUUCUAUACAUAAUAAGUCAACACUUUCAACAACGGAUCUCUUGGUUCGGUCAACUAUCAAGAACACAGCAGAUCUGAAUACCACACGUCUGACGUCCA